UUAUGACCCUACGAAAGAAGAAGAACAAUCGAAGGAAAUAGAGGAAGGGAGAUUAAAGGAGAGGAGAAAGGGAUUUCAAGAAGACUGAGUUUUCAUUCAUUCCAAUCAUACCAUCAUACGGGAAUGUCUUUGUUAGAAAAACUUCUUAGAAACAUUUCUUUAUUUUUCAAUUUGUCCUCUCUUGAGAACAUUAACUGAGAACCAGUUCAGAAGUACUACCAGAGAAUAGAAGAGAUAUUAAAGUUGUUGAAGCCCAUAAUUCUUGAAGAAAUCUUUGAUUCUAAAAUUACUUCUGAUGAAGUGCUUACCAAGGCAUUUGAAGAAACAUGUCUCUCUGUAGAAGAACUGUGAGAGCAAUUUGAAAGCUAGCAACCCCUUUUGAGUAAAGUUUACUUUGUUCUGCAAGUUGAGUCAUUAAUAUCAAAGAUUCGGAAUUCUAGCUUGGACAUAUUCCAUAUCAAGUCUUCCAAUCAACAUCUUCCUUAUGAAUUGAGUUCAUCUUAC